rnacentral:rRNA from 1 species
AGCAGCCGCGGUAAUUCCAGCUCCAAUAGCGUAUAUUAAAGUUGUUGCAGUUAAAAAGCUCGUAGUUGAAUUUCGGGAUCAGCAUGUCGGUCGUGCCUCUGGUACGUACUGGUAUCGCUGAUUUCUACCUUCUGACGAAUCAUGAUGUCAUUAAUUUGGUGUCAUGGGGAAUCAGGACUGUUACUUUGAAAAAUUAGAGUGUUUAAAGCAGGCACACGCUUGAAUACAUUAGCAUGGAAUAAUGAAAUAGGACGUUUGAUCCUAUUUUGUUGGUUUCUAGGAUCGACGUAAUGAUUAAUAGGGAUAGUUGGGGGCAUUAGUAUUCAAUUGUCAGAGGUGAAAUUCUUGGAUUUAUUGAAGACUAACUACUGCGAAAGCAUUUGCCAAGGAUGUUUUCAUUAAUCAAGAACGAAAGUUAGGGGAUCGAAGACGAUCAGAUACGUCGUAGUC